rnacentral:rRNA from 1 species
GAGUUUGAUCCUGGCUCAGAAUCAACGCUGGCGGCGUGCCUAACACAUGCAAGUCGAGCGAGAAAGGGGGCUUCGGCCCCCGAGUACAGCGGCGGACGGGUGAGUAACACGUGGGUAAUCUACCCUCGGGUGGGGAAUAACCCAGGGAAACCUGGGCUAAUACCGCAUAACAUCUUCAUUUCACAAGAUUUGGAGAUCAAAGCUGGGGACCCCUUCGGGGGCCUGGCGCCUGAGGAGGAGCCCGCGGCCAAUUAGCUUGUUGGUGAGGUAACGGCUCACCAAGGCGACGAUUGGUAGCCGGCCUGAGAGGGCGGACGGCCACACUGGGACUGAGACACGGCCCAGACUCCUACGGGAGGCAGCAGUGGGGAAUUUUUGUCAAUGGGGGAAACCCUGAACAAGCAACGCCGCGUGAAGGACGAAGACCUUCGGGUUGUAAACUUCUGUCGGAGGGGACGAAAGCGAUCGGCGCGAAUACCGCCGGUCGUUGACGGUACCCUACGAGGAAGCCCCGGCUAACUCCGUGCCAGCAGCCGCGGUAAUACGGGGG